CGGUGAGGUAGAGGUUGCGCUUGAUGAUGAGUCGCACAUGCCAGGCUGAUAAGGGGCCGCAAAACAUGUGUUAAAGGCAUCAGCGCCGAAGUGUAAAGAAAGCCGAUCCUUCUUUAUGCUGGGACUGUAUCUGAAUAAGUGCAGGACUGCCGCGUGCUUUUUCGCGGAGGGCUAUCCGGAGA
rnacentral:ncRNA from 1 species